AACGCACGAGACCUGCGGACCUGCGGAGGGAUCAUUAUAGAGUUUUCUAAACUCCCAACCCAUGUGAACUUACCUUUUGUUGCCUCGGCAGAAGUUAUAGGUCUUCUUAUAGCUGCUGCCGGUGGACCAUUAAACUCUUGUUAUUUUAUGUAAUCUGAGCGUCUUAUUUUAAUAAGUCAAAACUUUUAACAACGGAUCUCU
rnacentral:misc_RNA from 1 species